rnacentral:rRNA from 1 species
CCUACGGGAGGCAGCAGUGGGGAAUAUUGCAUAAUGGGCGAAACCCUGAUGCAGUGACGCCGCGUGAAGGAAGAAGGUCUUUGGAUCGUAAACUUCUAUCAGCAGGGAAGAAGGAAGUGACAGUACCUGUCUAAGAAGCCCCGGCUAACUACGUGCCAGCAGCCGCGGUAAUACGUAGGGGGCAAGCGUUAUCCGGAAUCACCGGGCGUAAAGGGUGCGUAGGCGGAAGGUCAACUCAGUUGUGAAAGCGCGGGGUUAAACCUCGGGAUUGCAUUUUAAACAGUCUUAUUAUGUUGCGGAAGAGGAAAGCCUUAUUGGUAGGGUAGCAGUGAUAUGCGUAGAGACUAGGAAGAACACCUGCGGAGACGGCAGCAUAAUUAACUGAAUCUGAAGCAGAUGCACGAAAGCGUUCGAUGCGUACAAGAUUAGGUACCCUGGUAGUC